AAAAGAGGUGAGUUGUUUGUUGCUGUGGUAAACAAAGAAGUGUACUGAAUCUUUUGGACUACACAGAUUGAUGUAGUAUUGAUUGUGAUGCUGAUCUGAGUUGUCUCAUUCUGUAUUUUUGUGCUUUGUCUUUUGUUACACAGAGUGAACGAGAUCUUUGGUUUUGCCUUUGCUGACUGCUGAUCUGAUCGUCUCAAGUCUGGUGACCUGCUGCAGAAAACCCUCUCCC